rnacentral:rRNA from 1 species
UGAGGAAUAUUGGUCAAUGGGCGCAAGCCUGAACCAGCCAUCCCGCGUGCAGGAAGACGGCGCUAUGCGUUGUAAACUGCUUUUCCAGGGGGAGAAACUUGCGCACGUGUUGCGCAAUUGACGGUACCCUGGGAAUAAGCAUCGGCUAACUCCGUGCCAGCAGCCGCGGUAAUACAGAGGAUGCGAGCGUUAUCCGGGUUCAUUGGGUUUAAAGGGUGCGUAGGCGGACUAUUAAGUCAGUGGUGAAAUCCUGCAGCUUAACUGCAGAACUGCCAUUGAUACUGAUAGCCUUGAGUUUGGUUAAGGUAGGCGGAAUGUGUAAUGUAGCGGUGAAAUGCUUAGAUAUUACACAGAACACCAAUUGCGUAGGCAGCUUACUGAGCCGACACUGACGCUGAGGCACGAAAGCGUGGGGAUCGAACAG